UACGUAGGGUGCAAGCGUUGUCCGGAAUUAUUGGGCGUAAAGAGCUCGUAGGCGGUCUGUCGCGUCGGCUGUGAAAACCCGGGGCUCAACCCCGGGCCUGCAGUCGAUACGGGCAGACUAGAGUGCGGUAGGGGAGACUGGAAUUCCUGGUGUAGCGGUGAAAUGCGCAGAUAUCAGGAGGAACACCGGUGGCGAAGGCGGCUCACUGGUCCGGUACUGACGCUGAGGUGCGAAAGCGUGGGGAGCAAACAGG
rnacentral:rRNA from 1 species